AAUAGAUACCCGGGUAGUCCUAGCCGUAAACGAUACUCGCUAGGUGUCGACCACGGUGCGACCGUUGUCGGUGCCGUAGGGAAGCCGUGAAGCGAGCCACCUGGGAAGUACGGCCGCAAGGCUGAAACUUAAAGGAAUUGGCGGGGGAGCACCACAACGGGUGGAGCUUGCGGUUUAAUUGGAUUCAACGCCGGAAAUCUUACCGGGACCGACAGCAACAUGAAGGCCAGGCUGAAGACUUUGCCGGAUUAGCUGAGAGGUGGUGCAUGGCCGUCGUCAGUUCGUACUGUGAAGCAUCCUGUUAAGUCAGGCAACGAGCGAGACCCACGCCCACAGUUGCCAGCGUACUCUCUGGAGUGACGGGUACACUGUGGGGACCGCCGCUGCUAAAGCGGAGGAAGGAAUGGGCAACGGUAGGUCAGUAUGCCCCGAAUAUCCCGGGCUACACGCGAGCUACAAUGGUUGGUACAAUGGGUAUCUACCCCGAAAGGGGAUGGAAAUCUCCUAAAGCCAAUCUUAGUUCGGAUUGAGGGCUGCAACUCGCCCUCA
rnacentral:rRNA from 1 species